GAUGAACGCUGGCGGCGUGCCUAAUACAUGCAAGUCGAGCGAACAGACGAGGAGCUGGCUCCCCCGACGUUAGCGGCGGACGGGAGAGUCACCCGUGGAUAACCUACCUAUCCGACUGGGAUAACUACGGGAAACCGGAGCUACCACCGGAUAAUAUAUCGAACCGCAUGGUUCAAUAGUGAAAGACGGUUUUGCUGUCACUUAUAGAUGGACCCGCGCCGCAUUCGCUAGUUGGUCAGGUAACGGCUUACCAAGGCAACGACGCGUAGCCGACCUGAGCGGGUGAUUGGCCACCCUGGAACUGAGGCACGGUCCAGACUCCGGCGGGGGGCAGCAGUAGGGACUCUUCCGCGAUGGGGGAGAGCCUGACGGAGGAACGCCGCGGGAGGGAUGAAGGUCGUCGGAUCGUAGAGCUCUGUUAUUAGGGAAGAACAAAUGUGUAAGUAACUAUGCACGUCUUGACGGUACCUGGUCAGAAAGCCCCGGCUAACUACGUG
rnacentral:rRNA from 1 species